rnacentral:rRNA from 1 species
AUUGAACGCUGGCGGCAUGCUUUACACAUGCAAGUCGAACGGUAACAGGCCGCAAGGUGCUGACGAGUGGCGAACGGGUGAGUAAUGCAUCGGAACGUGCCCAGUCGUGGGGGAUAACGCAGCGAAAGUUGCGCUAAUACCGCAUACGAUCUAUGGAUGAAAGCGGGGGACCGUAAGGCCUCGCGCGAUCGGAGCGUGCGAUGUCAGAUUAGGUAGUUGGUGGGGUAAAGGCUCACCAAGCCGACGAUCUGUAGCUGGUCUGAGAGGACGACCAGCCACACUGGGACUGAGACACGGCCCAGACUCCUACGGGAGGCAGCAGUGGGGAAUUUUGGACAAAGGGCGCAAGCCUGAUCCAGCAAUGCCGCGUGCAGGAAGAAGGCCUUCGGGUUGUAAACUGCUUUUGUACGGAACGAAACGGUCCUGGUUAAUACCCGGGGCUAAUGACGGUACCGUAAGAAUAAGCACCGGCUAACUACGUGCCAGCCGCCGCGGUAA